CAACAGUGAGGAAAUGUCUAUGAUUAUGAAUAGAGGGAAUUGAAAAAGGACCCCAAAGAUCAACAUGAACAAGUUCAAACAUUUUAUUGGAGUUUGAAUCACUUAAGGAAAUGGUAAAUGUCUCUGUUUAGCAUAGUGACAAAUAUCACAAUUGCUAUUCUUACGAAAACUAAAAUCAGAAAUGAAAGGUUGCAAAAGUUGUAAUCUGGAAGUGGAGGGAUGACCAAGUCUAUAAUGCCAAAAGUCAAAGUUGGCAGCAACAUGGACAGAAUGAUGAGAAUUGCUGGGAUUUGAGGAGAGAACAAGAUUAUUCAAUACAUAUAAACCUUCAUGUACGUUAGCUGUACCAAUCAUCUUGCAUGUGGUCAAGUCCUGGAUAAAACAUGAAUUAUGACAAAAAAGAAACAACAUGAGAGAGCAAAAGUUAAUUUGCUGACAGAAAGAAGAUUAAAGGAAAAUUCUGGAAUACAGAGAACAUCUUCCAAAAUAAAGUUCUCAGAAAACUUGAAAAUACCAGAAAUGGAAGCAAUAACCUUUGUACCAUUUGGAAGAGAAACAGACAAUGGAGGAAUAGAAUGAUAUGAGAAAAAAUUAUUCAUGGAGCAAGUAAUAUGGUCAGUUGCACCAGUAUCUAUAAUCCAACUAGAAGUCCUAACAGAACAAGAUAAAAGAAAAUGAUUAUGUGACUUGCCUGAUUGAGGAGUGUAAGUGGAAAUUAAAUUGCUAACAGUGGGUGUGUUUGAUGGAGAUGAAAAAGUAGAGGGAUUAGGAAGUGAUGCAGAAACAAUUUGAGUAGCCUGAAGCAAAGCUAUGAGACUUUGACACUGCUCUUGAGUUAGAGAGAUACUGGAGUUAUUAGGAUUCCCUUUGACAGAAACAAUAGGAUCAGAUGAUUGAGUCUCUUCUGAAUUGGCACAAUAAUUUGCAGAAGCAGAAUUGAACCUCUUAUACCCAGGAGGAUAACCAUGCUUUUUAUAGCAUGUCAACUGUGUGCCUAUAUUUGCCGCAGAAAGUACAAAAUCUGUGAUCUUCAAUUUUACCAUCACCACCAAGUUUAGGAGCAUAAUACGGUUUAGAUCUGGACUGAUCAGCUUUAAUAGCCCUAUUGAUAAAUGCCUUAGAUUCAACAGCAUUAGCACCAGAAGGAAAUAAUUGCCUUUCUUGCUGGAUUACCAAAGUAAAGGCUUUGUUAAUUAAGGGAAAUGGAUCUUGCAUCAUAAUUUGGGACUUAACUGUAGAAUACUGAUCAUUUAGCCUCUUCAAAAAUCUUAAAACAUGAUCAUGAGUCUGAUAUUCCUGCACCUUCAAAUAUCCAUCACAACAACAAGCAUUCUCGCAAGAGCAUGAGGGAAUAGGUCUGAAAUUCAUCAACUUAUCCCAUAAAAUUUUCAAUUCUGUAUGAUAGUCAAUCUCAGAUCUGCAAGAAGAGAUUUACGCCCUUAAACAAGGUGAGAUAUCUGUGAUUGACUAUCAUACAG
rnacentral:misc_RNA from 1 species